GGGCACAACAUGAAGACCCUCACAGUCACCUUCCCCAUCUCCACCCUCUGGUAUUCAUCAGACAGGAGCAGUGGCUCAGCCACGUUCAACUCCAUUGAGAGGGUCCUGCAGAGCCUUCUGGAUCCUUGUUCAAGAGGAGCAGCCUGGGUCCCUUAUACUCGAGUUGCAGACUGGUCUCCCUCAGGCCUGAGAAGGAUGGGGCAGCCACCAGUGUGACGCCGUCUGCACCCACCACCCUGAUCCCGUGGGCCACCAUGCCUCUGUGCUGGGAGCGGAGAGUCUCCACCUGUCUGCUCUUCCUCUCGGUGGCUCCUGGCUCUGCAGCCCAGAGUUUAUCCAUCCAGAGAGAGCACCAGCUACAUUUCCGCAUCAUCGUCGGGAUCCUCAGCAACCUGGAGCCCACAUCCUAGGAGUACACCGCCCUGCUGAGAGACACCCAGGACCAGAGUAUUCUCCCAACAGAGAUGAUACCUUGACUCAGAAGCCUGGUAAACCUGCAGGAAGCCCCAGCCCAUGGUAGGGGGCGAGUAUCUUGAUGCUGUGCCUCAUCGAAGAGAACCAUGCACACAGGGUCUUGGAUGAUGUGGAAAGUUGGC